UACGUAGGGUGCGAGCGUUGUCCGGAAUUAUUGGGCGUAAAGGGCUCGUAGGCGGUCUGUUGCGUCAGGAGUGAAAACUCGGGGCUUAACCCCGAGCCUGCUUCUGAUACGGGCAGACUAGAGGUAUGCAGGGGAGAACGGAAUUCCUGGUGUAGCAGUGAAAUGCGUUGAUAUCGUUAGGAACUCCGGUGGCGAAGGCGGCACGCUGGACCUUUUCUGACGCUGAGGCGCGAAAGCCAGGGGAGCGAACGGG
rnacentral:rRNA from 1 species